rnacentral:lncRNA from 1 species
GACUUCCGGUCGGCGCCAGCGUUUAAUGGCGGUCCUCGCUUCGAGCUCCGGAGGAGGACUGCUCCGCGAGUUCGGGUCUGACCCGCUACGGCGAGCGGGGGACCCCUAAAAUCACAGGCGCUGAAGCCUGUGAACAAGGAGACUCGGUGGGCACCUUUGCGCCCCGGUACUGUGAAAGAGCCUUUUAAAGGCUACGGAGCGGCAUCGGGGGUGAGCGCGGUGCUGAGAGUCGCAACCCAGCUCGUGGAGUGAAGCCGCAUCGCCAUGAACGGAGAGCGCCGAUUCCUUCCUGAACCAGAAAUUCGACUGUAAACCCCGUGAGUAAGACGGAGGGAUUGAACGGGACAUUUAAAUUUAAAUUCUGAAAUUUGGCUGAAAACGGGAAAGGCAUAAAUUAAGGAAGUCUGCCUCCCCGAUCUGCAUGGCAAUUAAAGCAACGAAAGAGUAAAGCUGCAUUUGAAAGAAAAUUAUCUUUGAGCUGUCAAACCUGACAUUUGACUUAAACUUCCCCCCAGUAAGCAGGAGAAGGGGGGAAGAAAACUGGACACUGUUAAUCUGCCUGAAAUUAACUGAGGAAAAAAACAUCUUCCACUGCCAAAUCCCCUGAACGGACUGCCUGAGUAAGGCACUGGGAAAGUGAACUGUCAGUUUAGACUGGAUACAAAGUUGGGGUUUUGUCUGAGACAAAGUUACGGGACUUUAAUGGAAUUACUUUGUUGAACUUGUGACUAUACUGAAAAAGUGCGACAGAAACUUUUACUGUGGACUCUUGGAUUUUUUGUUGAUUGCUCUAUGUUCCCUUGUUCUUUCUCUUUUCACUUGGAUACAAUUAAAUGCUCCCUCUAGAGGGUAUAAAGAGAAACUGUUAUAGUGAAAAAGAAACAGUGGGAUUUUCCACUUGCAAGUCUUUCCUGUGAGAACGACCUUGAGGAUAUGAGUGGUCCAGCAGAAGAGAUAACAACUAGAUCCAAAGCAAAACAGACACAAAAGAAAAGGGGCUCAAUAUCUGGCAUACCACCAGCUGCACAGGAAAAAGUGGCAACAGCAUCUAUGGAUUCAAUGACACAGGCACUGCUCAAAAUAAACCAAUCUUUAGAAGCACUGACAAAGCUAUCUACGGAAAAUUCCAAAAAAUUGACAGAACUGACAGCAAGAUUGGACUUGAAUACUGCAAGUGUAACAUCAAAUACAGAAUCUAUUAAUAAAUUAAUUCAAGAAAGUUCUGAAACACGAAAGAUUGCUGAAAGUGCAAAAAAAUACUGCAGAGGAGACAAGGGAGGAGCUUGUGCCGAUUACAAAAAAAGUGAAUGAACAUGAUGCAGCCCUAUCUUUGCUGGAAUUACAGAGAAAAGAGAGAAAUCUGAAAUUGAGAUUGGUUCCCGAGAGUGAGGGAGACAGCCUUGUGGACUUCCUUACACAGAACUUUAUGGAAUUUUGGCAAAAGGAGCUGCAGGAAGAAGAACUUGAAAUAACAACAGCUUUUCGGCUGGGCAGGAGGCAAGGUAAGAAGCCAAGGGAUUGUUUGAUCACAUUGAGAUCCAAAGGAGAAAGAGAUAAAAUAUUGAACUUGCAUUACCAAAAGGCAUUGGAGAUUGAAAAUAGUCAAGUACAAAUUUUUAAAGAUAUCCCUAAAUAUAUUUUGGAGGUGAGAGCCUUCUAUAAAGAUUUGGUCUACCUGCUGAAGAAAAAUAUCAUACCCUUCAGGUGGGAGUUUCCACAAGGAUUGUCUUUUACUUUCAAAGGAAGGAAGGUCAAAAUAAGAACAGUUCAAGAUAAAGAACAGUUUUUGGAGAGAUAUCAGGAGGACUUGCAGAAAGGAACAGUAGAAACAACAAUACAAGAAAAAGGAGUGACAGACAUUGCAAACUUGUCAUUUGGACUCAUACCACCAUCUGAAGAUGAACAAAAGCUAGGAGCAGUCGGUGGAACAGGUACUUAAUAACAAAAUGUCUCUGCAACUUCUUAGUUGGAAUUGUAAUGGUUUGAACCUUCCCGAAAAAGACGCCAAGUUUUUCAUAUUUUGAAAAGAGAACAAUUAGACCUAAUAUGUCUACAAGAGACCCAUGUGACCAGGACACAUAGGAAAUUAUUGGUAAACAAGAGACUUGGACAGGAAUUUAUUUCAUCAGACAAAGUUAAGAAAAGAGGCGUGGUGAUUUAUGCAAAAGAAAAAUUGGCUCCAAAGAUGAUAUUUAAAGAUGAACAAGGAAGAUACCUGGCAAUUGAAAUACAAGUUCAAGGAGAAAAAUCUUGAUAGUCGGAAUUUAUGCACCAAAUGACGGGAAGGCGGAAUUCUUUAAGAAGCUGCAUGAGACUUUAAUGGACUAUUUAGACUAUAGAGUAGUAAUGAUGGGAGACAUGAAUGGUGUAGUCUCCACAAAUAUGGACAAAGCACAAAGACAAGUAAUUUCCAAGGAAGGGAGACUACCAAAGACUUUUUUUGAAAUGACUGAAACUAUGGACUUGAUUGACAUUUGGAGAACAAGGAACCCUCUUGAGAGAGAGGGAACUUUUUCUCUGAAGCAAAAAUGACAUGGACAAGAAUUGACCAAAUUUGGGUAACUAGCAGUAUGGCGCCAAGGAUCAAAAAGGUAGAAAUCUGCUCAAAGACUUGCUCCGACCAUAAUGCUGUAAAGAUGGAGAUGAAACUAACAUCAACUGGAUCCUUUAGAUGGAGAAUGAAUGACACCCUAUUUAGAGAUGAAGAGAUUUAUAAGAAGGCCCAAAAAACAUUGAAAGAUUACUUUGAGAUAAAUUUGAGAACAGAAGUGGAAAAAAGAAUAAUCUGGGACGCAAGUAAGGCCGUGAUGCGAGGUUUCCUAAUACAACAGAACUCCAUAAAGAGGAAAAAUCAAAAUGAAAGGAAAGAAAAAAUUCUGG